rnacentral:rRNA from 1 species
GGCGGUAACACGUAGGGGGCGAGCGUUGUCCGGAUUUAUUGGGCGUAAAGAGCUCGUAGGCGGUUAGGAAAGUCGGGUGUGAAAGCUCGAGGCUCAACCUCGAGACGCCACUCGAUACUUCCUUGACUGGAGUCCGGUAGAGGAGUGCGGAAUUCCUGGUGUAGCGGUGAAAUGCGCAGAUAUCAGGAGGAACACCAACGGCGAAGGCAGCACUCUGGGCCGGUACUGACGCUGAGGAGCGAAAGCGUGGCGAGCAAACAGG